UACGUAGGGUGCAAGCGUUGUCCGGAAUUAUUGGGCGUAAAGAGCUCGUAGGCGGUCUGUCGCGUCGGCUGUGAAAUCCCGAGGCUCAACCUCGGACCUGCAGUCGAUACGGGCAAACUGGAGUGUUGCAGGGGAGACUGGAAUUCCUGGUGUAGCGGUGAAAUGCGCAGAUAUCUGGAGGAACACCGGUGGCGAAGGCGGCAUCCUGGACCGGCAUUGACGCUGAGGCGCGAAAGCCAGGGGAGCAAACGGG
rnacentral:rRNA from 1 species